rnacentral:rRNA from 1 species
GAGCGGCCUAUUGCCUAUCAGCUUGUUGGUGAGGUAAUGGCUCACCAAGGCUUUGACGGGUAGCGGGGCUGAGAGGUCGGCCCGCCUCAUCGGGACUGAGACACUGCCCGGACCUCCACGGAGGGCUGCAGUAACGAAUAUUGGGCAAUGAGCGAAAGCUUGACCCAGCGACGCCGCGUGUGGGAGGAAGUCCUUCGGGACGUAAACCACUUUUAGGCUUAUGAAAGCCUGCCGCAAGGCAGGUUGAUCUAUGCCAGAAAAAGUCACGGCUAACUCUGUGCCAGCAGCCGCGGUAAGACAGAGGUGGCGAGCGUUGUUCGGUGUCGCUGGGCUUAAAGCGUGUGUAGGCGGCCAAGUAAGCGCGUUGUGAAAGCCCCCGGCUUAACCGGGGAAAUGCUUCGCGUACUGCUUGGCUUGAGGCAGGUAUGGGUGCGGGGAACUGUUGGUGGAGCGGUGGAAUGCGUAGAUAUCAACAGGAACGCCGGUGGUGAAGACGCUGCACUGGGCCUGAUCUGACGCUGAGACACGAAAGCGUGGGGAUAAAACGGGAUUAGAU